AUUGUGUCAGCCGCCGCGCGGUAAUACGUAGGUCCCGAGCGUUGUCCGGAUUUAUUGGGCGUAAAGCGAGCGCAGGUGGUUUAAUAAGUCUGAUGUAAAAGGCAGUGGCUCAACCAUUGUGUGCAUUGGAAACUGUUAGACUUGAGUGCAGUAGAGGAGAGUGGAAUUCCAUGUGUAGCGGUGAAAUGCGUAGAUAUAUGGAGGAACACCGGUGGCGAAAGCGGCUCUCUGGACUGUCACUGACACUGAGGCUCGAAAGCGUGGGUAGCAAACAGGAUUAGAUACCCUGGUAGUCCACGCCGUAAACGAUGAGUGCUAGUUGUUUGGGGCUAUCCAGCCCUAAGUGACGCAGCAAACGCAUUAAGCACUCCGCCUGGGGAGUACGACCGCAAGGUUGAAACUCAAAGGAAUUGACGGGGGCCCGCACAAGCGGUGGAGCAUGUGGUUUAAUUCGAAGCAACGCGAAGAACCUUACCAGGUCUUGACAUACUCGUGCUAUUCCUAGAGAUAGGAAGUUCCUUCGGGACACGGGAUACAGGUGGUGCAUGGUUGUCGUCAGCUCGUGUCGUGAGAUGUUGGGUUAAGUCCCGCAACGAGCGCAACCCCUAUUGUUAGUUGCCAUCAUUAAGUUGGGCACUCUAGCGAGACUGCCGGUAAUAAACCGGAGGAAGGUGGGGAUGACGUCAAAUCAUCAUGCCCCUUAUGACCUGGCUACACACGUGCUACAAUGGUUGGUACAACGAGUCGCAAGGCAGUGAUGUCAAGCUAAUCUCUUAAAGCCAAUCUCAGUUCGGAUUGUAGGCUGCAACUCGCCUACAUGAAGUCGGAAUCGCUAGUAAUCGCGGAUCAGCACGCCGCGGUGAAUACGUUCCCGGGCCUUGCACACACCGCCCGUCAAAU
rnacentral:rRNA from 1 species